rnacentral:lncRNA from 1 species
GGUUUACGAUGCGGUGCGUGCUAAUUUGUGUCUAGUGGUUGAAAGGAAUCCAAAUUCGUGAUGAGUCGAUUCACGCUCACGAUAAUAGGGCUCCUUAUUUUCCCGAGCGUGCUCUCAUCCAGAGAAGAAAGACUGCUCCAGACGCCAUCGAAAGAGACUCUGGAACGAACAUGUCCUUGUUUGCCCAUCGAAGUAUGCCAGAAACACCAAGGCGCAGGCGGUAAUUCAGGAUGGUCGGGCUUGAUUCCAGUGUGCGAGGACUUGAGCCUGGUGCGCUGCUGCGGGGCUCCACCUAUGAAAAAAGUGAGUUAUCCCGGCCAGUUAAUACAAAAUGCCCGUUUAGAUUUCAGCCACAAUCCCAGUGAUGAAAUAAUCCGUCAUACGAGGGACACCCUGAGCGACAAGGAGUCCUUGAUGAAGAAGUCGGACGAAACCAAAGGCUUCAAGAAACAAGAUCUGAGCGAACUCAAAGGCAAAAUACGGCCACGCAGAGCUGUUGACGAUGAUGAAGCCGUAGUCACAACUCAAAUGAGUGAUGCAAAAGUUAAUGUUACAGUUAUGUUGCACGCAGUUAAUGAAACCAAAAUUCAGUCAGAGAGUGAGACGAAAAAUGCACCUGCAGUCAUCGUUGAACAGGAAAUGCAUCCAGCGAAUGAUAUGAAAAGCGGAGUGACACCCAUCACCGGAGGAGAGGUAUCGUCAGUCACUGAAAUGAAAAGUGACGUGGUAGCCACCACAGCGCCAGAGAUGCAUUCAACGAUUUUAGAAAAGAGUGAAGGGACAGUCUCAGCACCGCAGAAAAUGCAAAUGAACGAUGAUUUAGAGAAAGCAGCUGCAGUUACCACUGAGCAAGUGAUGCACUCAACUAGUGAUAUGAAGAAUGAGAUGGCAGCCAACGUUGAGUCAGGGAUACAAGAGAAAAGUGAAGCAACAGUCGUUCCUGAAGGAAGUACCCAGUCAGGUAUCGUGAUGACGAAUGGAGUUGAUGUCACCACGGAGAAGGAGAUGCAUCUUAUCGAAGAGGCAAAGAAUAAGACUGUGAGUAUGAUCGCUCCAGAAAUGCGCAUGGUCAACGAAAUGGGAAGUGAAGGUACAUCCACAACCGAACAGCAAAUUCCUUCAGAAUCUGAAAAGGUCAACGGAGCAUCAUCCACCUCAGGACUCGUUAUGAAUGAUGAAGUUGUAACUGCAAAUCCUUCGGUCACUUCGUCCGAAAAUGAGAUAAAAAUCCCCGAGGUGAAAAUUCAAGUUACAGACAACUCAACACAAACUGGGAGCUCUGAUGGCAGUCCUACAGCACGUCAGGAAAUUUCGACGCCGGAUUUGAGUUCUAAAUCUCUCGAAGAGGUCACCACUGAAAAUUCUGCCAAGUUGUCAACUGAAUCUGUUGAAAUGACAUCAUCCAGCUCAUCAGAUAUUAGCACCACGAUUCUGAGUUCAAGUGCACCAAAUGAUGAAUCAUCGGCAAAUCGUGAAAUGACUGAGCAAAGUCCGGCAAAAAUUGACUCAGCGAGUGAAGUUGCGACCCUUUCACCCUUAAUGGACAGUAGCUCUGUCAAGGCAGAUUCUUCAAAUGUGAAUGUAAGCAGCACAGAGAGAAGUAUUCAAGCUACAACUCAGGACAAGUCAAUCUCAACCAGUAAAACUUUCCCCAUAGAUUUUAGUAAGGUGAAAAAGUCUAAAUAUUUGGAUGUUAAAGAAGAAGUAGAAUCCAAAGUUGCUGUUGUGUAUGCAAAACCUGCAAGCGCCGAGGAGGAGAAAAUAAACGAGGAACUGAAGAAGAAGUUGGAUUCCAUGAUCCGAUCCAGUUUGAACACGACCGAUGGACCAAGUCAUGAUGAUGAUCGCCAUCAUAUCCAGCACAUUCCGUUGGGAAAACGUUUGAUAAUUUACAAAAAAAUAAAACCGUCCGAUAAGAAAGCCAUUAAGGAAUUGAUAUACGACAGCUUACAAACGGCAAAUCAAACUGAUCGCGCCUCUGGUGAACUUAAUGAAACAGUUUCAAGUGCUACUCCAUCAGCAGAUAAUUCAACAAAUACUGUUAAAGAAGCCGCUGAGGCAUCUAAUGUUACAGAGACCAAGUCGAACCCAGAGAAAGAUUCUGAUGAUACUUUGGAGGCUGCUCAAAGUUCGCAAGUUCCAGUCUACGUAUUAAGUCCAGGUGCCGCAAAUAGUUCACCUGCUGAGGCAGCCGAGGAGGAACAUUCAGCCAAAAUUGACUUCGUUAAAAAGGGUUCAGGGGCACCAUUUAAUUUUGCGAGCAGGUUUUCACCCCCUGGUGUUGGAGUUAAGGUGGCAGAUACUCCGCAUACAUCGACGGAGCACACAAACCGUCCUACUGCUAACAGAGGGCGAAUAAAGUUCCAAGAAAGUAUUAUGAAUGAUCAGCUGAAGGAGAAAAAAGCUGCUGCAGAAAGAGGACACGUAAGUAGUACGAUUGACACAGUGUCGACCGACAUCUCUGUUAAUCAUCCAACCAGGAAAAAUUUCAAUCGACCCUCUGUGGGAUCAGUCAUUCCUUCGAACAAUUCUCCGGUAGAAUCCAAUCCUCAGGUUAAUCCUUCAACUAAUUCGAACAGCCGACUUGUCAUACAAACCCAGAGUAUCCUUAAAAAACCAGUUCCAACAUCAGCUUCCCCUUCAACGGAUUCUUCACCAAUAUUAAACCACCAUAAUGCUGGCUCAAACACGCCAAGUGGCGUCUCUGCCGAACAUGCUACCAAAAAUCAGUUUGAGCAAUCCCCAUCACAACCAGCAGUUCACACGACGGACUCUUCCGGUAAGUUCGAAUUCCAAAAUAAGCCCCCCACAACCCCUGAGGUCAAACAUUAUUUGAUCAAUCAUUCAAAGGCUGAGCAGGGAGACGGAACUGCCCAAUACGAGUUUAUCGGUCAAACUGAGAGCAAUUUGAAGGGUGACGCAGUCGUUUUCCCAAGUUCGGUCGAGCAUGAAAAUAAACCAAAUCAAAACCAAACGAAGGAAGAAAAAACUCUUUAUUUGCAAAGCACGGAAAAGGAUGGCACCGUUCAGCUGAUAGAAAAUCAAGCUGCGAUUUAUCAAGAGCGCGCUCAAGAGGGAGAUUCAAGCCCAGUGCCACCCACGCAAUCAGAGAGUAGCCAGGUUGCAAACACCGUUGCUCCGUCGAGUCAUGUUGCCGGCGACAAAACACAUCACUCAGCUGGGUCCGUCGAAAAGGAUAAAGCUGCAAGUUCACGCAGACCCGAUUACCAGAGCAUAAGACGUCCGGAAAGUGAGCCCCAACUCACGCCGCAGAUAGUGAAAAACCAAGUAAAUUUGCUUCUCCGAGCCGUAUCAGAGGUGGUCCGAAGAAGCAAAACGGGUUGA